GGAUACCUCCAUGUCUCCCAGCCCAAGGUGCAGUGCUGCAUCUCUGGUCAAUUGGGAGUCUGAGAUGAAGCACUGUAGCUCGGGAAGGGAGGAACUGCACAUCCUG
rnacentral:pre_miRNA from 12 species